GACGAACGCUGGCGGCGUGCUUAACACAUGCAAGUCGAGCGGACAGGUGAUGCGCUUGUGCGGCGCUCGAGUGGGGAAGGCGGGAGUGACACGCGUGUAAACUCCCCCUGACUUUGGGAUAACUUCAGGAAAAUGGGGCUCAUAUCGGGUAGGAGCUCUUGCAGCAUGGUGGGGGUUGGAAAGUUUCGGCGGUGGGGGCUGGACUAGCGGCUUAUCCGCUUGUUGGGGGGGUAGUGGCGUACGAGGGCUUCGAAGGGUAGCCUGCCUGAGAGGGUGACCGGCGACAUUGCGCCUGCGGUACGGCCCAGUAUCCUACGGGAGGCAGUAGUGGGAAAUAUUGCAGAGUGGGCGGAAGCCAGAGGCAGCAACGCCGCGUGCGGAAUGACGGCCUUCGGGGUGUAAACCGCUUUCGCCUGAGACGAAGCGGGAGUGACGGUAAUGGGUAAAGAAGCCCCGGCUAACUACGUG
rnacentral:rRNA from 1 species